ACCCACGACUACGAGGUGAAGAUGCGCGCGAUGAACCGCUUCUUCGAGGAAGGCGACAAGGUCAAGGUGACGCUGAAGUUCCGUGGUCGCGAAAUGGCGCACCAGGAACUCGGCAUGAAGCUUCUGCUCCAGGUCAAGGAAGACACCACGACCAUUGCCAAGGUCGAAGCCGAGCCCAAGCUCGAAGGCCGCCAGAUGAUGAUGGUGCUCGCACCGAGAUAAGCGUGCGGCCGGGAUAGGCUUUGGCACAUCCCGACCGACCUUCAAAAGCCGUACGUGACAUCGUCCCGGA
rnacentral:misc_RNA from 1 species